rnacentral:rRNA from 1 species
AAAAUGUUUCUAGUGUGUAAAUUUAUUGUGUUUAUAUAAAUAUAUUAAUUU